rnacentral:rRNA from 2 species
UUAAGUGACUAAGCGUACACGGUGGAUGCCUAGGCAGUCAGAGGCGAUGAAGGGCGUGCUAAUCUGCGAAAAGCGUCGGUAAGGUGAUAUGAACCGUUAUAACCGGCGAUACCCGAAUGGGGAAACCCAGUGUGUUUCGACACACUAUCAUGUCAUGAAUACAUAGUGGCAUGAGGCGAACCGGGGGAACUGAAACAUCUAAGUACCCCGAGGAAAAGAAAUCAACCGAGAUUCCCCCAGUAGCGGCGAGCGAACGGGGAGGAGCCCAGAACCUGAAUCGGCUUGUGUGUUAGUGGAAGCGUCUGGAAAGUCGCGCAGCAAAGGGUGAUAGCCCCGUACACUAAAAUGCACAGGUCGUGAGUUCGAUGAGUAGGGCGGGACACGUGACAUCCUGUCUGAAUAUGGGGGGACCAUCCUCCAAGGCUAAAUACUCCUGACUGACCGAUAGUGAACCAGUACCGUGAGGGAAAGGCGAAAAGAACCCCGGCGAGGGGAGUGAAAUAGAACCUGAAACCGUGUACGUACAAGCAGUGGGAGCACCUUCGUGGUGUGACUGCGUACCUUUUGUAUAAUGGGUCAGCGACUUAUAUUUUGUAGCAAGGUUAACCGUAUAGGGGAGCCGUAGGGAAACCGAGUCUUAACUGGGCGAAUAGUUGCAAGGUAUAGACCCGAAACCCGGUGAUCUAGCCAUGGGCAGGUUGAAGGUUGGGUAACACUAACUGGAGGACCGAACCGACUAAUGUUGAAAAAUUAGCGGAUGACUUGUGGCUGGGGGUGAAAGGCCAAUCAAACCGGGAGAUAGCUGGUUCUCCCCGAAAGCUAUUUAGGUAGCGCCUCGUGAACUCAUCUUCGGGGGUAGAGCACUGUUUCGGCUAGGGGGCCAUCCCGGCUUACCAAACCGAUGCAAACUCCGAAUACCGAAGAAUGUUAUCACGGGAGACACACGGCGGGUGCUAACGUCCGUCGUGAAGAGGGAAACAACCCAGACCGCCAGCUAAGGUCCCAAAGUCAUGGUUAAGUGGGAAACGAUGUGGGAAGGCACAGACAGCCAGGAUGUUGGCUUAGAAGCAGCCAUCAUUUAAAGAAAGCGUAAUAGCUCACUGGUCGAGUCGGCCUGCGCGGAAGAUGUAACGGGGCUAAACCAUGCACCGAAGCUGCGGCAGCGACGCUUAGGCGUUGUUGGGUAGGGGAGCGUUCUGUAAGCCGUUGAAGGUGGCCUGUGAGGGUUGCUGGAGGUAUCAGAAGUGCGAAUGCUGACAUAAGUAACGAUAAAGCGGGUGAAAAGCCCGCUCGCCGGAAGACCAAGGGUUCCUGUCCAACGUUAAUCGGGGCAGGGUGAGUCGACCCCUAAGGCGAGGCUGAAAAGCGUAGUCGAUGGGAAACAGGUUAAUAUUCCUGUACUUGGUGUUACUGCGAAGGGGGGACGGAGAAGGCUAGGCUAGCCGGGCGACGGUUGUCCCGGUUUAAGCGUGUAGGGGGUGUGACCUGGUAAAUCCGGUUACAUACUAACCCUGAGGCGUGAUGACGAUGCACUACGGUGCAGAAGUAGUUGAUGCCCUGCUUCCAGGAAAAGCCUCUAAGCUCCAGGUAACAUUAAAUCGUACCCCAAACCGACACAGGUGGUCAGGUAGAGAAUACCAAGGCGCUUGAGAGAACUCGGGUGAAGGAACUAGGCAAAAUGGUGCCGUAACUUCGGGAGAAGGCACGCUGGCAUGUAGGUGAAGUCCCUCGCGGAUGGAGCUGAAGCCAGUCGAAGAUACCAGCUGGCUGCAACUGUUUAAUAAAAACACAGCACUGUGCAAACACGAAAGUGGACGUAUACGGUGUGACGCCUGCCCGGUGCUGGAAGGUUAAUUGAUGGGGUCAGCCGCAAGGCGAAGCUCUUGAUCGAAGCCCCAGUAAACGGCGGCCGUAACUAUAACGGUCCUAAGGUAGCGAAAUUCCUUGUCGGGUAAGUUCCGACCUGCACGAAUGGCGUAAUGAUGGCCAGGCUGUCUCCACCCGAGACUCAGUGAAAUUGAACUCGCUGUGAAGAUGCAGUGUACCCGCGGCAAGACGGAAAGACCCCGUGAACCUUUACUAUAGCUUGACACUGAACAUUGAGCCUUGAUGUGUAGGAUAGGUGGGAGGCUUUGAAGCGUGGACGCCAGUCUGCGUGGAGCCAUCCUUGAAAUACCACCCUUUAAUGUUUGAUGUUCUAACUCGGCCCCAUAAUCUGGGGUGAGGACAGUGUCUGGUGGGUAGUUUGACUGGGGCGGUCUCCUCCCAAAGAGUAACGGAGGAGCACGAAGGUUAGCUAAUCACGGUCGGACAUCGUGAGGUUAGUGCAAAGGCAUAAGCUAGCUUGACUGCGAGAGUGACGGCUCGAGCAGGUACGAAAGUAGGUCUUAGUGAUCCGGUGGUUCUGAAUGGAAGGGCCAUCGCUCAACGGAUAAAAGGUACUCCGGGGAUAACAGGCUGAUACCGCCCAAGAGUUCAUAUCGACGGCGGUGUUUGGCACCUCGAUGUCGGCUCAUCACAUCCUGGGGCUGAAGUAGGUCCCAAGGGUAUGGCUGUUCGCCAUUUAAAGUGGUACGCGAGCUGGGUUUAGAACGUCGUGAGACAGUUCGGUCCCUAUCUGCCGUGGGCGUUGGAAGAUUGAGAGGGGUUGCUCCUAGUACGAGAGGACCGGAGUGAACGCACCACUGGUGUUCGGGUUGUCAUGCCAAUGGCAUUGCCCGGUAGCUAAGUGCGGAAAAGAUAAGCGCUGAAAGCAUCUAAGCGCGAAACUUGCCUCAAGAUGAGUCUUCCCUGGGCCUUUAAGGCCCCUGAAGGAACGUUUAAGACUAAGACGUUGAUAGGCUGGGUGUGUAAGUGCAGCGAUGCAUUGAGCUAACCAGUACUAAUGAUCCGUGAGGCUUAACCUU